AUGAUUGUUGGAUGUUCCAGAGAAAGGCAGGGAGAGGAACAGAAAAGCAAAUACUUCCCGAUCUUGCACAUUCCAGAGGAUACCCAGAUGCCAAGUCUCCCUGCUCUGACAUCUUCCCUCCUGACUGGCAUGAGUUAUUGCCAAGGGAGCUGCCGCUGCCUUUUCUCUCUCUUCCCACCCACCCGCAGUCACUUUGCCACCCAGGGUGCCGGGGCUGAAGCUGCUUUCCCGCCUUCCCCAGGCAUCAUGUACUUUCAGAAUUUCACAGAUCUGGAUACCGUCGCUCAAAUCUGCCCUGAAUGGGGUUGCGGGGUGUUAGAGAGUGAAGCCAGCCUCUCCAGAGAGAGGAAGAACACCCACACAUCAAAGGACUCAUACAAAGAACAGCAAGAAGAGAAAGCAUCAGGCCACAAGGCGCGUACAACUGUGAUUUGUCUACAGAUGAAGUCCGGGUUCCGACCCCAAACUGAGGAUGCAGAGAGGCCCCUGAGACUCAAAGGAAGACACCUUGGAUGUGGAAACUGAGGCUCGUGUCUUCAGAUUCCCCAGUUCUGAGCCCUGUCCCCUUGGCAUGUGGAUCUGCUGACCCCAAAUACUUGAUUCUGGUAGCAGAUGGUGACAUCCCACCCAGAUCUCCCUGGCUGGGGCACACACCAUUCGUGGAGGUUCACCCUUGGCUGACAGACUUCUGAGAGGUUUAUGUCCCCCACCCCCCAACCCAGGGACUGAUUCCGCAGCAGGACAGUCCUGCCUGUUGCCUUCGUGAGACAAAGUCCAAGCCACCACACUCCAGAGCUCCCUGUGGGCUACUGUGGCUUUGCUAGCCAUUCCCCACCCUCACCGGCCUCCCAAACCCCUUCAGUCCGCACCCCCCCAGUCCUGUCACUCACAAGACGAUGGUCCCCACAGGCACUGCUUCUAGGGAGCCUGACCCAAGAGAGUCAGAUGUGCUUGCUCUCUUCCAAGCACUUGGCAAAUAUAAAUCAUUUGACCAUCAUGACAACACCCGCGGAUAUUCCUCAUUCCAUGUGCACGUCACCAGAGAAGAGUUCGGAAAAGGGGGACACAGCGCGCCAGUGAAGACAGAUGGGAGACCUUCACUGAAAAAGCCUUGUCCACACACGCGUUCGUGGUCCCUGGACCCCUCUGACUUGAGACAUGCAGCAGGCCUAGUGCUUUCCUCUUCCCCAACUGAGCUAACUAAAGAAGGCCAGAAUCUAGGGCCCCCAAGGCCUGUUGACAGCACCAUUAGCCCUUUUUGACUUGUAAGGUUUGCCCUCAGCAGCCUCUGGUGGUCCCUGAAGACCCGUGCAGGGAGCUGGGACAGAUGAGAGGCGGUGGGGGAGGAAGGGAAGCUGGACUCCCCAGCCCCGCCGGGAGUCCGGGAGAACGGUUCGCGCGUACAGAUCGUUAGGGAGAAGAAGGCCCAUCUUCCUUACGGUCAAGGGGGGCUCUCCAGAGGCACACGCCGGAGCCUGGAGCGGAAGAAGUCUUUGGUCUGAGCUGACGGCACAAUUACACGUUCUUCGUUGCCUCUAUAUUGAAACCACAGCCUCGCCAACGCCGAGCGCCAACGUUGCCGUGACCUAUCCGCUCCCCAAGGUUUCUGAUGGAAAAACAGCUCAGGAAAAAUCCACUUAGGCUCUGGGUAAGUGAGGAGCAGAUGCUUGUUCGCUGCCCCGACCUUCUGGGAAAUCCCUUUUCUGAAACGGUUAAAAUGCACUCGAAGCAUAGCUUGCAGAAGAUUUUCCUUAAAAUGCUUGCUAAGGAGUAAAAGCAGCACGCUCUUUGCAUGCCAGACGAGCCGACACAGAGCUCGAAGAUUUCUGCUCUUCCCGUUAGAGUCUGUCUCUGUCCCCACUCCUCUUCCCAAAGGAAAGUCUUCAUUUUAAAAAACAAACUGCGGAAUUGCAGCUAGACACAUUCGAUGCUUGAGAAACUUUUAGAAAAGGGAGUACCAUGAAGGCCACAAUCAUCGCAUCCAAAAUGAGAGAAAUAAAUACUGCCAAAGGAGUCUUGCUUACUCGUGUAAACAAUCAAGUGUUCUAGGAAAUGACACAUUGGCUAAUUCGGCACAUUGUGCUGAGAGGAAACCGGAAGUGGGAAAGAUUGGGUCUGAAGAAGAAACGGCUCAUUGUUUGGCAUUCUUUAAAUGCUGGAAUAAUUACUCAAUUAUGGGCACUUCCCAUAUAUUUAAAUAAUGCAAAUCCACAGGCUGUGGAGGACAUUAGAUGGAGUUCCUGCUAAUUCCUGUCUGGCGGGCUUAGGGACUGCAGAGGAAGGGACAAAAUGCCAGAACUCUUAACCUGGGAACCCUCUGCAGGCUCAGGGACUGGAAUGGGGACAGGGUGGGGCUAUUCCCUGAUGUUUUACUUUGUGGCUUUAUGACUUUAACUUUAGACACUUACUUGACCUGUGAUCAGAAAAGCUGUUGUUUAGAUCUCGAAUGUGGUCUGAGAGCCUGACAGCGCUUUUCCCAAAAGUGUAAGUGCGGCCAGUUUGGAGAUUCGGGGUUUUCUCAUCUCCUAAUCUUCCACUCCAAAGACGUGCAGGAUAUUCUGGAAAGACAGCCAAGCAGUCUGUGUUUGGUCCAUCUCAGUGCAGUAUUCUGCUGUGUGUCGGCUUCUCAGCCCCAAGCAGUGUUCUUGGGAUUGAUCGUGGCUGUUGUGUGGACCCCAUUUGUUUCUGAGUAAUUAAAAUUCAGAUUAAAAAAAAAUGUUAGACCGAUUUCUCUCCCAAUCUUAGAACGCUCAGAAUCACCCACUUCCUUCCUCUCCAAGUCUCCCCCCCGCCAAGGCUACAUUUUUACCUCUUUUCCUUCCCAGCCCGUGGGUUAUGUUCAACAAAAUGCUAACGAGUAAACUGAAAAUGUAUUCCAGGCAAACCGUAAUUUUAGGAAAACACAGCCGCCGUGAGCCAGCGUACUACAGGACACUUCCUUCUGGCUGGAUUCUCCGGUUCAGGAUUAUGACUCCGGUCCCCUGUGUAUUUGGAAAAACAGAUUCUUACACUGCAGACCUCUGCCUCGUGAGCCAAGCCGAGCAGCUUGGAAGUCUCCCCCAAGAAGGAGGAUUUAUGCAACACAGAAAGGAGCAGCCUCUGGGUCAUGAACCAUUUUUUUUUUUCCAUUUGACAACACUAGUGUUACAAAUGAGUCUCUUCUGCAACAUGAAUGGAACAGUUUUGAAAUACAGUUAACCUCGCUAGAUCCUAGAGUGACAACCCGGCAAAUCCACAAGGUGGUUGUUAUGUACCCGUGAUUCUCAGCCAGGGACGACUGUGGCCCCCGGGGGACACGUAGCAGUGCCUGGAGACAGUUUUGGAAAGAGGUUGCCCUGCGUCCAGUGAGGAGAAACCAGGGAGGCUGCUCAGCACCCCACGGGGCACAGGACAGCUCCGCCACAGAGAGCGAUCCCCGCCACGUGCCACUAGUGCCGAGGCUGAGACACCCCUCCCCGGGCAAAGUGGGAGGGACACUUGCACUGCCUAGGCUUUUAUGGCGCGGAAACCAAGGCUCAGAGAACGUAAGUAACGUAAGUAACGAGUCGAGUGUGAUCUGACCACAGCUAUAAAGCAUUGCCCUGAGCCGGAAGCUCAGUGUUCCCAGCUGACCUCCGUAUUACUCGGGGUUUUCCAGAGACACAGAGAGCUAGACAAAGAGAUUCAUUCUAAGGAAUUAAGGAAUUUGCUGAUGUGAUUACGGAGGCUGAUGAGUCCCCGGAUCGGCCAUCAGCGCUUGGAGACCCAGGACAGCCAAUGGUGUAGCUGGUCCAAGGCCAGCGGGCUCGAACCUCAUGAAGAGCUGAUGUUUCAGUUCAAGUCCAAAGGCAGGAAAAGCGAGGUCCCGGCCCAACGGUCACGCAGGAGGAGCUGCCCCUUCCUCACGGAGAGUCAUUCUUUCUGUAUCAUUCAGGCCCUCGACGAACCGCGGGAGACCCACCUACAUCUGCUUUCCUCAGUCUGUUGACUCAAACACGGCUCGUCCAGAAGCAACCUCACGGACACGCCCAGAACAACGCUUGCCCAGAUAUCUGGGCGCCGCGUGGUCCAGUCAGGUCAAUGUGGAAAUGAGCAAUCGUAUCUGUCCACUUUACACCCAGCUGCUCGGCGUUCCCACAACUCCUUCUGCUCAAAGAGUGGUUCAUAAGCCGGCUGCAGCAGCAUCGUGGGGAGCUCACUGAAGCCCCCAGCCCAGAGCCGUCGGUGCGCCAAGCCCCGUGUCACACACACAGAGGGGAUGGGAUGGGGGAGGGGCCAUUUCCCACUAUUGAUUCCAAGAGCCAUCUGGGUAAUGUUUUCCCUAACUUCAUAAUCAAUAGGGGUUUAUGGAUCAUUUAAGAGGUGCCACGCCCAGGGGCACCUGGCUGGCUCAGUCAGUUGAGCAUCUGCCUUGUGCUCAGGUCAUGAACUCAAAGUUCUGGGAUCGAGUCCCACAUCUGGCUCCUUGCUCAUUGGAGUCCGCUUCUUUCUCUCCUCUGCCUGCCGUUCCCCUGCUUGUGUGUGCGCGCUCGCUCUCUCUCUCUCUCUCUGUCUGAGAAAUAAAUAAAUAAAUCUUUUAAAAAAAGAAAAGAAGAGGUGCCAAGCCCUACUCUAGUCAGUGAGCAAAGUAUGAUCACGGCCACGUUCACACUUUCUCUGCGUGAUAAACACAUUUAAGAACUGGCUCUGUUAGUCACUCAACUUCAGGCCAUGCCUCCGUGAAGUCCAGCCAGAAUUAC
ensembl:lincRNA